UCCGAAUUGGUGUAGUGGCUAACAUUUGACGCUCUCAUGCCUUGUAUCUAUGCUCCUCUCCUUCGAGGAAAUGGAAAAAAGGAGUGCCGUCAAGCCCGGGGUUCGAUUCCCCGAUUCGGAG